UUGAAAGGGAAACGAUUGAAGUCAGUCGUGCUGGCGCGAAAUCAACCCUCUCGUCUUGAGAUCACAUGGCGCGACGAGCCUCAAAACCGGCACGAAGCGUGAACUCUUGACGAAAAGGUGCACUUUCGUGUCCGCUGGUUAACAUCAAUUUCGAACGUCAUAAAAAGGCUGGAGGGAUGUGGCUCCUUCGGGGAGUGUUAUAACCUUUAGCGGAAUGUGGCAUUCGGGAUUGAGGAUUGCAACGAUACCUUCAGGGCCGUUCACCUGGGCUUCUCAUUGGGUAUCCUGGGUGACGACAGCUUGCUGACGUCGUUAGGAUCAGCUUCUGAACAGGCUAGAGUGUGAGCAAAUUCGUAAGGAUGUUGACGUAAGUC
rnacentral:rRNA from 1 species